GACAGAGGGUGCAAGCGUUGUUCGGAAUUACUGGGCGUAAAGCGCGUGUAGGCGGCUCUGCAAGUCGGAUGUGAAAGCCCUGGGCUCAACCUAGGAAGUGCACUCGAAACUGCAGAGCUGGAGUCCUGGAGAGGAAGGCGGAAUUCUCGGUGUAGAGGUGAAAUUCGUAGAUAUCGAGAGGAACACCGGUGGCGAAGGCGGCCUUCUGGACAGUGACUGACGCUGAGACGCGAAAGCGUGGGGAGCAAACAGG
rnacentral:rRNA from 1 species